rnacentral:rRNA from 1 species
AUGGUGAAGCACGGAGCAGCAGCUCGAGUCGCGGGAGCAGCAGCUGUCACGGGCGGAGGUUGGGGCCGGAGCUUUUGGAGGGGCCAUGGACACAGAGGAGUCCAGGCCAUGGCAGCGGAGGAGAAGCAGGGCCAGGGGCGUGUCGGGGCGAGGAGCUCCUGGCCGCAGCGGCACGGCGCUAGAGCAUGGGCUCGCCGGCUGGAGCAAGACGAGCGGGACGACGCGGUCGUCGCUGAUGCAAGGGGAGAAGGGCGACGGGCGUGCGGCUCCAGGCGGAGGAGGAGAAGGGGCCCCAUGGAUGGGGCCUGCCGAGGGGAGGAGGCACGACGGAGAGGAGAGCUUUGGGCGCCGGCGAGACGGAGAUGGCACGGCGGCGGGAUGGAGCUUCGGCGGCUCUAUGGAUCAAGGAGGAGGGACGCUGAGGCUGCGCUGGAGGGAGAUCGAGAGGGAGGAGGGAUCGAUGGAGAUAGGGUUCGGGCGUGGGUUCCCCUGGCAGCGUGA